rnacentral:rRNA from 1 species
CACGUAGGGUCCGAGCGUUGUCCGGAAUUACUGGGCGUAAAGCGCGUGUAGGCUGUCCCGCAAGUCGGGUGUGAAAGCCCUGGGCUCAACCUAGGAAGUGCACUCGAAACUGCGGGACUCGAGUCCUGGAGAGGAAGGCGGAAUUCUCGGUGUAGAGGUGAAAUUCGCAGAUAUCGGGAGGAACACCAAUAGCGAAGGCAGCUCGCUGGGACGUUACUGACGCUGAGACGCGAAAGCGUGGGGAGCGAACAGG